rnacentral:rRNA from 1 species
CCUACGGGAGGCUGCAGUGAGGAAUAUUGGUCAAUGGACGAGAGUCUGAACCAGCCAAGUAGCGUGAAGGAUGACUGCCCUAUGGGUUGUAAACUUCUUUUAUAAAGGAAUAAAACGAGGCACGUGUGCCUUUUUGCAUGUACUUUAUGAAUAAGGAUCGGCUAACUCCGUGCCAGCAGCCGCGGUAAUACGGAGGAUCCGAGCGUUAUCCGGAUUUAUUGGGUUUAAAGGGAGCGUAGAUGGGUUGUUAAGUCAGUUGUGAAAGUUUGCGGCUCAACCGUAAAAUUGCAAUUGAUACUGGCAGUCUAGAGUACAGUUGAGGUAGGCGGAAUUCGUGGUGUAGCGGUGAAAUGCUUAGAUAUCACGAAGAACCCCGAUUGCGAAGGCAGCUUACUAAACUGUGACUGACAUUGAUGCUCGAAAGUGUGGGUAUCAAACAGGAUUAGAUACCCGGGUAGUC